CAGUUAAAACCAGGUAAUCUAGAUAGGGCGGAGCUCUUUUUGCACCCAUAUUGUUAAUUUAAUAGCGGAAGUUUGAUGUUUAAUUUUCCAUGAAAGGAAAUAAAAGCGACAGAUCUCUACCCAUGCAAGAGAAGUCCAUCGAAAUACUGAUUGUCCACUGUUGUCGUUUUCAAGCAUUGAAAGAAUGAAGAACCAAGCUGUGUUAGUUCUUGCCGCUCUAUUUCUGCUCGCAAAUCUCGUUACUGAUAGUCACGGCUUUUCAGGACCUAUAUCCCAGGGGGGGGAAAAAAAGAGAGUUGGAGAAACAGGUUGAGAGAGGCGCAAACAACUUUCCUCAAGUUAAAAGAAGCAGGGGAAUGGAAAGAGGACAAUCCGACGAUUACAACGAAGAAAAGGAGAAAUAGCCAUGUUAACCUGCUGAAAGGACUGAUUAUGACACAAAUACUGUAAUCUAAUGAUUAUCGUAACAAAGAAAUCAAAAUUAAAGAUUAGACGAUUAGCUUUG